UACCAGCCGGGGGAGCAGCGGGUCCCUGUACUCGAAGUCCGCUACAGCGAGGGUGGAUUCCCGUUCCGAGGGCGGAGCUUGUGCGGUCUGAAUCAUACGGAAUGUGUUGACGAAUGGGUCUUGCGCGAUUCGCGGCUGUGAACCAUGUCAGGUGGGGAACCAAGCAGCAUUAAGCAGUGCAGCGGAUGCGCCGCAAGGCAGCCUGUUCCGAGCAGGAAAUGUGAUGGCGCGUGCGAUC
rnacentral:SRP_RNA from 1 species